rnacentral:rRNA from 1 species
CAUAGUGUGCUCUGGAAACUGUCUGACUUGAGUGCAGAAGGGGAGAGUGGAAUUCCAUGUGUAGCGGUGAAAUGCGUAGAUAUAUGGAGGAACACCAGUGGCGAAAGCGGCUCUCUGGUCUGUCACUGACGCUGAGGCUCGAAAGCGUGGGUAGCGAACAGGAUUAGAUACCCUGGUAGUCCACGCCGUAAACGAUGAGUGCUAGGUGUUAGGCCCUUUCCGGGGCUUAGUGCCGGAGCUAACGCAAUAAGCACUCCGCCUGGGGAGUACGACCGCAAGGUUGAAACUCAAAGGAAUUGACGGGGGCCCGCACAAGCGGUGGAGCAUGUGGUUUAAUUCGAAGCAACGCGAAGAACCUUACCAGGUCUUGACAUCCCGAUGCUAUUCUUAGAGAUAGGAAGUUACUUCGGUACAUCGGAGACAGGUGGUGCAUGGUUGUCGUCAGCUCGUGUCGUGAGAUGUUGGGUUAAGUCCCGCAACGAGCGCAACCCUUAUUGUUAGUUGCCAUCAUUAAGUUGGGCACUCUAGCGAGACUGCCGGUAAUAAACCGGAGGAAGGUGGGGAUGACGUCAAAUCAUCAUGCCCCUUAUGACCUGGGCUACACACGUGCUACAAUGGUCGGUACAACGAGUUGCGAGCCGGUGACGGCAAGCUAAUCUCUGAAAGCCGAUCUCAGUUCGGAUUGGAGGCUGCAACUCGCCUCCAUGAAGUCGGAAUCGCUAGUAAUCGCGGAUCAGCACGCCGCGGUGAAUACGUUCCCGGGCCUUGUACACACCGCCCGUCACACCACGAGAGUUUGUAACACCCGGAGUCGGUGAGGUAACCUUUUAGGGG